rnacentral:tRNA from 1 species
UACAAAAUUAGCAAAAAAUUGCAUAAGCUUUAGACUCUUACUUUUCCUUAA